GUACACACGCAGCUCUGUCCUCGGGGUCCUGGAAUCCGAGGUCACUACCUUGAAAUCCCAGGGCGCUGAUGCUCUCUGGGUCAGACGCCUGACUUCCCGCCCACCUAAGCCAUCACCUUGUAAAGACCCGAAGGAUUCUACGGUCCAGGCCCCGGGUCUUGGGGCAGCGAUGACUCACUCACCGCAGCACCCCUCCCCCCACUCCCCAGCCAAACUGCGGUCUCCGCCUACCCGCAAACCAUCUCCACGACGCGCUUUGGGCGCUGCGACUCCCGGCGUUGUGCUGGGGGUGGGCAGGGGUUCAGCCCCUUCCCCACAUCCCCGGGGGCGGGACCUUUCCCCUCCCACUGGAGCCUUCCCUUGUGAGGAGGAGGAGAAGGAUGCGACAUCAGAUCCGGACCUUAAGACCCACGACCCGCAGCGCGCGACGGGGCUGCCGAGCGCCCUGGGAACGUCCACCCUCCCACCAGCAAGAGUGUGCAGGCCAGAAAGUGAAGCUGUGUUUAAGGAAUCCUCCUCCUCUGCUGUGUGUUCUGACUCCCGUCAAAACCUCUCUGGGCUUGUUCUAUCCCCUGAAGAAUGGAAGAAAAAUUAUUCCUGUUCCCUGACUCUGAGAUGUGGACCAAGUUAAUGAAUUCAUGUUUCUACCAUGCUCUGAAAGUUAUCAGAAAACAGCUCAUAUAUGACUCUAAAAGUGCUGGGUAUUCAUAUAAAAAUGUGGCCCAGAAAUUCCUCUGUAGAUAUGACCCACUUAGGAUCUGUCUGAUGGCCGGUAGCUUUAUUACAACACAGCAAAGGUUCCAGAAGGAAAAAGAUAUGGGGGAAGAAAAAUCCAGACCUGAUCAAGUCGAGCUUUGCCUGAGCAUUAAUUAUAAGGCCUUUGCCACGGUUAAAAGCAUCGUCAAAGCUGAAAGAAGGUUGGUUGGAGUAACCUGCUUGCAGAAAUGGCUUCCACUGGAGAACAGGUAGGGUCGCUGCUCAAAUAGACUUAAAGCCAACUUGUUGGGAACAGAACAAAUGACUCCAUGUGAAGCUGAAAUAUCUUGGCUUCUCAAUAGUUAUGCCAGUUGAUCCCAGUGCCAGAUUCUGUUCCAGUGGACGAAGUCUGGACUUGAAAGGUGUCACAGUGUUCCCCAAAGCUAACAUUCCUGAGAAAAACUGCAUUGACAACGGGGGCGAUCUUGAUCCUGGCUCUCACCUUGGACAUACCUCUGGGACAGAAAGACACAAGCCAAGGUGACAAUCUAGGUAAAAUUAUUCUGAAUAAAUGCUGCUCCCAGUGACUCCAGCCCUCAGGAAGCCUUCUUGGAAAUGCUUGCUGCAAAUCACCAUGGGAACCAGGUGGCAGAUGUCAACAAAGCAGCACAAAUUCAUCUUCCCUAGAAGAAAGGAGGUUUUUCCAUUAAGAUGAGGAUGCAGAAGCUCAGGAGUCUUUAACCCUUGCUGAAGUUCACAAAGGGAGAAUGACUUCAAGUCGCCUCAGAAGAGGGGAAAUACGGGCUGAUACCUCUUGGAUGCAACCUAACAGAAAGAAGGGCAUCUCUGGAGGAGACAACAGCAGAUGCAAAGACCCACGAUGAGAACGAGAUGGAAGCAUCUGAGGAAUUGCAAGAAGGGUCUGGAGUAUGCUGACCCAGGGGUGGAGUGGGAUUAGAAAGAGCUGGCGUGAAAGGUUGCCGCUGGGACUCAUGGGAUGGAAAUUUGGUGUAUUUUCUCCUCCAUUUCUUCGCUCCUAAGGAAACAGCUUCAAGAAGCAGCGAAGAACACUUGCUGAGCACCUCACCGUGGUCCAAGGGUCUGGAUUGCUGACCUUCAGAAGGAGAGUCAUGGAAGGGUCUCAGAGCAGCAGUAUCCGGGUCCCCCCUGCAUCUGCUAGGAAGAUCUUAAGCGGUCUCACAAACUGAAACCAGUGCCUACAUGCUAUGGUCACCGGGCCCUUUAAAAGCUCUCCUGUCCCUAUUCCCAAAGAAACAGGGCACUGUCUUGGCAGGGCCUCAUUCUCAUUGGACAGAAGUGGGCUGUGUUUGUGUUUGGGGUAACCCCAGCCCGGUCAGUGCACGCAUCCCCAGGUGGUCCUCUUCUAGACUGCCAGCUGGUGACUGGAGGGAGUCAGAAGUCCCAGUCGUGUGGCCACAAGGCAUCCUAGGUGGCCCAUAAGGACACUAGAGGAGGAUCUGUUCUGGGAAUGCAGUUAGCCUUGUAUGGAAAGGUAGGCUAACUCUUCACUGUCUGACAAGGUCAAGGCUAGAAGAAGAGAGGGAGGAAGAGGCCCAGCUCUUGCCCUCUGGGGAGACAGAACUCCCAGGAGAGGCAUCUGUCAUCCACAGUGGCAUUGACUAAACACACCUCCGGUCUCGGUCACAAUGGUCACUGGAGGCCGGGCAGGGUGGCGCACGCCUGUAAUCCCAGCAGCUCGGGAGGCUGAGGCAGGAGGAUUGGGAGUUCAAAGUCAGCCUCAGCAACUUAGCAAGGCCCUGAGCAACUCAGUG